CUACGGGUGGCAGCAGUGAGGAAUAUUGGACAAUGGAUGGAAAUCUGAUCCAGCCAUGCCGCGUGCAGGAAGACGGCCCUAUGGGUUGUAAACUGCUUUAGUAUGGGAGCAAUAAGGUCUACGCGUAGACUGAUGAGAGUACCAUAAGAAUAAGCAUCGGCUAACUCCGUGCCAGCAGCCGCGGUAAUACGGGGGAUGCGAGCGUUAUCCGGAUUUAUUGGGUUUAAAGGGGUGCGUAGGCGGAUUGUCAAGUCAGUGGUGAAAACUUUAGGCUUAACCUAAAGCUUGCCAUUGAUACUGAUGAUCUAGAAUAUGGAUGAUGUUGGCGGAAUGUGUAAAGUAGCGGUGAAAUGCAUAGAUAUUACACAGAAGGUCGAUUGCGAAAGCAGCUGACAAAGGCAAUAUUGACGCUGAGGCACGAAAGUGUGGGGAUCGAACAGGAUUAGAUACCCGCGUAGUC
rnacentral:rRNA from 1 species